GACACGAUGUUAGGCCUGUGAACCCGCUGAAUUUAAGCAUAUUAGUAGGCGGCGGAAGAUAACCCAAAAGGGAUUCCUUCAGUAAUGGCGAAUGAACGGGGAAAAGCUCAGCAAAGAAAUCAGGGACCCCGUCCUUGAGUUGUGGACUUGAGAGGUAUUGCCAAUGGUGGCGCAGGUGCGGGCCUCUUGGAAAAGGGCACCACAGAGGGUGUGAGUCCUGUUUGUCAUCUGUAGUCCGCCAUGUACGGCAUGAUUCCUCAGAGUCACGUUCCUUGGAAUUGGAGCGCGAAGGUGGUGGUGGCUUUCAUCUCAAGCUAAGUAUGGGUUCGAGACCGAUAGCAAACAAGUACCAUGAGGGAAGAUUGAAAAGAGCUUUGGAAAGAGAGUUAAAAGUGCCCGAACUUGCUGAUAGGGAAGCGAAGGGAGCUGACGUUGCUUGGUGACAUAUUCCGCGCAAGAGUAGGAUGGGUUCUGAUUGCAAUCUGCGUAGUGCUUCUUGCCGUGCGUGUCGAUGCCAAGCAAUGAGUGGGGAGAGCACCAGGGAUAAUGAUUGUUUCUGUCCCCGGGUGGACGAAGGUGCCUGGUCGCAUCCAUUUGUGGGCUGAAACAAAUGGUGGCUGGUUGCAGCGCCCUGUGCCUGCUAGGCAGUUGGGGUGCAGCCCUGAUACGCAGACGAGGACAAAGUGCUU
rnacentral:rRNA from 1 species